rnacentral:lncRNA from 1 species
CAUGAGCCCCACUGAUACAGAUGAGAAUGCUUGCAGCAAACCAUUGGACUGAACAAGGGGACUCCAAUGGAGGAAUUAGAGAAAAGACUGAAGGGGCUGAAGGGGAUUGCAACCCCAUAGGAAGAACAACAAUAUCAACCAACCAGACCCCACCAGAGUUCCAAGGGACUAAACCACCAACCAAUGAAUAUACAUGGAGGGAUCCAUGGCUCUAGCCACAUAUGUAGCAGAGGAUGGCAUUGUCUGGCAUCAAAUAGAAGGAGAAGGCCUUGGUCCUGUGAAGGCUCAUUUCUCCAAUGUAGGGGAAUGCCAGCAUGUUGAAAUGAGAGUGGGUGGGUGGAAGUGAGAGCAUCCUCAUGGAAACGGAGAGAAGGGAGCAUGGGAGAUGGGAGGGAAGGGAUAACAUCUGAAAUGUAAAUACAUAAAAUAUCCAAGAAAAAUAAAAUUAAAAAAAAAUGACAGGACAUGAAUGACUCUAA